AUGUCAUGUCGUAUCUUAACAACAAUGAUGAUCUGGAAGCAGAACAGGGUGAAGAAGAAGCAGGCUACGGUGAUCGAAGAGUGGAGGAGGAAAGACAUGAUUAUGAUGGCUCCGGUGACCCAAUGCUGGUGCAAGACGGAGCCCGUGGUGACGGUCUUCCCUUGUCAUAUGUCAGGUGGCGAGGACGUGUUGGUACGAUCGAACAACUUGGUCAUGGGGUACUUGUCGAGUGCCUCUUUGGCACGCAGAAAAUUAAUCAGUCGAAGUAGAGGCACCGUUUGGCAUAACUGGAAACAGUUCCAAGAUGAACAAACAAGGUCAAGUACUGGCAGCAAAGCAAGUAUACAUAGGAAUCUUACUUGUGGAACCAAGGAAGCAUGGCUAGAAGAGAGUAUGCGUACAAUCAGCCCAAGAAUUAAUUAA
rnacentral:rRNA from 1 species